rnacentral:rRNA from 1 species
UACGGAGGGUGCAAGCGUUAUCCGGAUUUACUGGGUUUAAAGGGUGCGUAGGCGGGACUUUAAGUCAGCGGUGAAAGCUCCAAGCUUAACUUGGAAAUUGCCGUUGAUACUAGUGUUCUUGAAUUCGGUUGAGGUUGGCGGAAUGUGUCGUGUAGCGGUGAAAUGCUUAGAUAUGACACAGAACACCGAUUGCGAAGGCAGCUAGCUAAACCGAUAUUGACGCUGAGGCACGAAAGUGUGGGGAUCAAACAGG